rnacentral:rRNA from 1 species
GACGAACGCUGGCGGCGUGCUUAACACAUGCAAGUCGAACGGAGAGGCCCUGCUUUUGUGGGGUGCUCGAGUGGCGAACGGGUGAGGAACACGUGAGUAACCUGCCCUUGACUUUGGUAUAACUUCAGGAAACGGGGGCUAAUACCGGAUAGGAGCUCCUGCUGCAUGGUGGGGGUUGGAAAGGUUCGGCGGUUGGGGAUGGACGCGCGGCUUAUCAGCUUGUUGGUGGGGUAGUGGCUUACCAAGGCUUUGACGGGUAGCCGGCCUGAGAGGGUGACCGGCCCCAUUGGGACUGAGAUACGGCCCAGACUCCUACGGGAGGCAGCAGUGGGGAAUAUUGCACAGUGGGCGGAAGCCUUAUGCAGCAACGCCGCGUGCGGGAUGACGGCCUUCGGGUUGUAAACCGCUUUCGCCUGUGACGAAGCGUGAGUGACGGUAAUGGGUAAAGAAGCACCGGCUAACUACGUG